rnacentral:rRNA from 1 species
UACGGAGGGUGCAAACGUUGCUCGGAAUCACUGGGCGUAAAGGGUGCGUAGGCGGGUCUUUAAGUCAGAGGUGAAAUCCUGGAGCUCAACUCCAGAACUGCCUUUGAUACUGAGGAUCUUGAGUACGGGAGAGGUGAGUGGAACUGCGAGUGUAGAGGUGAAAUUCGUAGAUAUUCGCAAGAACACCAGUGGCGAAGGCGGCUCACUGGCCCGUUACUGACGCUGAGGCACGAAAGCGUGGGGAGCAAACAGG